ACAUUUUAUACCAGGAGGACUUG
rnacentral:piRNA from 1 species